rnacentral:sRNA from 1 species
AGUGUAUUGUAUCCUAGGCAUUCUUUGUGGACCACAACUCCCGCACCACCACUUUCAUUGAUCCCCGGCUCCCACUUCAGAGCAGUAGACCCACAAGUGCGCUGGUUCAUCGGCAACACCUGACAAGGCAACGCAGCCACAGUGCGGGUGAGGUAGGAGAAGAUUCUCGACAUGCAGGACCACCAGUUCUUCCCAGGCCAUCCAGUACAUUCAAUACAGUCAGUAGGCCACAGUACCAGGACAUGGUUCCAGUGGCUUACAAUGACAAGAUUGUUGCAUUUCUACGUCAACCCAAUAUCUUUGAAAUUCUACAGGAGCGUCAACCUGAUCUUACCAGGAAUCACUCACUCAGGGAGAAGAUCCAAUUUAUCCGAACUGAAGGGACUCCAGGAUUGGUGCGCCUUUCAAGCGAUGCAGACCUUGUUAUGUUGCUGAGGUACAUACGUAACACUCACUCUUGAAGCAGAAGGUCUCUUAUCAUCAGAUAUCAUGGAACAUUGUAGAAAAUAAUAUGCCAAUAUUC